rnacentral:rRNA from 1 species
CCUACGGGUGGCAGCAGUGAGGAAUAUUGGUCAAUGGGCGUAAGUCUGAACCAGCCAAGUAGCGUGAAGGAUGAAUGCCCUAUGGAUUGUAAACUUCUUUUAUAUGGGAAUAAAAUGUUGGACGUGUCGGGUUUUGUAUGUACCAUAUGAAUAAGGAUCGGCUAACUCCGUGCCAGCAGCCGCGGUAAUACGGAGGAUCCGAGCGUUAUCCGGAUUUAUUGGGUUUAAAGGGUGCGUAGGUGGCUUUUUAAGUCAGUGGUGAAAGUUUGUGGCUCAACCGUAGAAUUGCAGUUGAAACUGGCAGGCUUGAGUAUAGUAGAGGCGGGCGGAAUGCGUGGUGUAGCGGUGAAAUGCUUAGAUAUCACGCAGAACCCCGAUUGCGAAGGCAGCCCGC